rnacentral:lncRNA from 1 species
AGGGAAACCAUUACAAAGCAUCUACUAAACCCUAAUACAGCUUUGGUGUAAUGUGGUUCGAGGCAAGUAUGACAGAUAUAAUAUGAGAAAUGAUAUGGUGUCUAUUAAAGCUACUGAUUUUGCACUUUGGAAAGCUUUGGUAAGGCUUUGGCCAGAAUUUCCAAAGUGGCAAUUUUGGAUAAUUGGAGAUGGUACUAAAGUGGAUGCUUGGAAGGAUGCAAAGAUGGCAAUUUUGCUCAGAUGACAGAUGUGAUUCCUGCAGAAUGGAGGGAUGCAAAGGUUAGUGACUUGGUUGAUAUUAAUGGACAAUGGCGUUUAAAUGAAUUGAGUUGGUUACCUAUAGAUAUCACGAAUUGUAUUCGAGCAGUGGCUCCGCCUGUUCCGGGCUUGAUGGAGGAUCGAUGUGCU